GAUGAACGCUAGCGGCAGGCCUAACACAUGCAAGUCGAGGGGUAGCAGGAUUAAGCUUGCUUAAUUGCUGACGACCGGCGCACGGGUGCGUAACGCGUAUGCAACCUACCUUAUACUGGGGUAUAGCCCGGAGAAAUUCGGAUUAAUCCCCCAUAGUACUAAUGAAUCGCCUGGUUUAUUAGUUAAAGCAUUGCGGUAUAAGAUGGGCAUGCGUCCUAUUAGCUAGAUGGUGAGGUAACGGCUCACCAUGGCUACGAUAGGUAGGGGGCCUGAGAGGGUGGUCCCCCACACUGGUACUGAGACACGGACCAGACUCCUACGGGAGGCAGCAGUGAGGAAUAUUGGUCAAUGGGCGCAAGCCUGAACCAGCCAUGCCGCGUGCAGGAAGAAUGCCCUAUGGGUUGUAAACUGCUUUUAUUUGGGAAAACCUCUUUACGUGUAGAGAGCUGAAGGUACCAAAUGAAUAAGCACCGGCUAACUCCGUGCCAGCAGCCGCGGUAA
rnacentral:rRNA from 1 species